AACGAACGCUGGCGGCAUGCCUAACACAUGCAAGUCGAACGAGACCUUCGGGUCUAGUGGCGCUCGUGUGCGUACCGCGUGGGAACCUGCCCUUAGGUUCGGAAUACCUCCCUGAAAGGUGUGCUAAUACCGGAUAAUGUCUUCGGACCAAAGAUUUAUGGCCUUUGGAUGGGCCCUCGUUGGUUUAGCUAGUUGGUAGUGUAAAAGCAUAGCAAGGCGACGAUCCAUGGCUGGUCUGAUAGGAUGAUAAGCCACACUGGGACUGAGACACGGACCAGAAUGGGACGGGAGGGAGCAGUGGAGAAUAUAGGACAAGGGGCGAAAGUGUGAUAAAGCAGUGUCGGGUGAGAGAGGAAGGGGGUAGGGUUGUAAAGCUGUUUUAGACGGGAUGAGAAUGACAGUAACGGGAGAAGAAGCACCGGCUAACUACGUG
rnacentral:rRNA from 1 species